rnacentral:rRNA from 1 species
GACAGAGGGUGCAAACGUUGCUCGGAAUUACUGGGCGUAAAGCGCGUGUAGGCGGGUCGGAAAGUCAGGUGUGAAAUCCCCGGGCUCAACUCGGGAACUGCACUUGAAACUUCCGAUCUCGAGUACCGGGAGAGGGGUAGUGGAAUUCCUGGUGUAGAGGUGAAAUUCGUAGAUAUCAGGAGGAACACCGGUGGCGAAGGCGGCGUACCUGGACGGUCAC